GCGCAUCGGCCGUCUGCUGACUUUCCGACCGUCACGUAACGCCAGGUCCAGGGACAUCAAAAGCAACACAAAACAACUGCAAACAUAUGACCACCAAAACAGGGUCCCAGUCGAAUGUGAUAUACCAUAUAGUAUAUAGAGUGUGUGCAGUUUAGCAUGCGCCCGCUACAAAUACAUAAAUUAUAUUCUGUUUGCUGCUGCACCUGCAUAUGCAAACAUAGGGUGAAAAUUGGAAAAAAUAAACAGCAAAUUGGAGCCACACGACCUGUCUAAUGACGUCACAAAGAGUUUUUACUAUUACACCCACGAUCCACCUAACAUCUACCAAUGUACUCAAUUAAAUUACAGCUGACGGGCGCCUUAUCAGCGACCUGCUUAUAAUGGCUGAUAAAACCCCCAAAAACAAUAGCAACAUCGAAAAAUAAAAAUAACAACACAUGACUUUCUGACCAUCGCGGGUUACAAAACCCAAAAGCGAGAGAUAAAAGCCAACCCAACUUUAAAGUAAAGAUUAGGCCAGAAAGCAAAUACGAAAUGAAAAUGAAAAAGGCAAACACCAAAUAGAUUUGGAAAUUUGGAAUUGCUUUUUGAAAAUGUUUGGUAAAUAUUGGGACCCGAAAAUUCAGCGGGUAAACAAAGCCAUGAAAUCUGGUUACAGUUUGAGAAGCACUUAAGGGCUUGUGCAAUUGACCUUCGACCACAAACAGCAUUCUAAAAAAGGGAAAGAAAACAAAAAACAACAACGUGGCCCAGAAAAACAAAAAAAAAAGAAGAAACCAAAACAAAAACAUGUGAAAAAUCUAAACAAACACAAGAGGCAUGUGAGUUUUUUUGGUGUAAUCCACACCGGCGUGUAACCCUGACGUCGGGCGAUUGAAAGCUCCUUAAGUGCCAAGUAGAGAUCCAUCGCACGGAAAAAAUGAUCAUAUGGGGCUUAUAUAAGUUAAAUACAUGUAAAAAUAUUCAACAUAUCAUUUGAUUUAAUUUUCUCGCCUAAUAAUUUGAGCUUUAUAUUAAAGCAAUUCAAGUUUUUUCGUAUCGGUCUAAUGUGUAUUAUACAUUUCUAAAUAAAGUUAUUCAAUUUGGAAUCUGA